UUGCUACGGCAGCACAUAUACUAAAAUUGGAUUGAUACAGAGACGAUUAGUAUGGCCCCUGUGAAAGGAUGACAUGCACACACAGCUUGAUGUGGGUGCAAAGGUGU